rnacentral:rRNA from 1 species
CCUACGGGAGGCAGCAGUGGGGAAUAUUGCACAAUGGUGGGAACCCUGAUGCAGCAACGCCGCGUGGGGGAAGAAGUACUCCGGUAUGUUAAGCCCUUUUUGCAGGGAAGAAAAUGACGGUACCUGACCAAGGAGCCCCGUCUCAAUACAUGCCAGCAGCCGCGGCUCUGGGUGGGGUGCAGCGGUUAUCCGGAUUUACUGGGCGUAAAGGGAGCGUAGACGGCAAUGCAAGUCUGGAGGGAAAGCCCGUGGCCCAACCACUGGACCGCUUUGGAAACCGUGAUGCUGGAGUGCAGGUGGGGUAAGCGGAAUGCCUGGUGUAGCGGUGAAAUGCGUAGAUAUUAGGAGGAACACCGGUGGCGAAGGCGGCUUACCGG